GGGCCUGUAGCUCAGUGGCAAAGCAUUUGACUACAAAUCAAGAGGUCACCGUUUCGAACUCGGUUGGGCCCU
rnacentral:tRNA from 1 species